GGGGUUGUGGCUCAGUGGUAGAGCAUUCACCUAGCACGCGUAUGGCACUGGGUUCGAUCCUCAGCACCA
rnacentral:tRNA from 1 species